GUAGUUAGCCGGGACUUAUUCCUGGGGUACCGUCCUUGUCUCUUCCCCCAGAAAAGGGCUUUACAACCCGAAGGCCUUCAUCGCCCACGCGGCGUCGCUGCAUCCGGCUUUCGCCGAUUGUGCAAUAUCCCCG
rnacentral:rRNA from 1 species